rnacentral:rRNA from 1 species
GAUGAACGCUAGCGGCAGGCCUAAUACAUGCAAGUCGAACGAUAGCAGAGAGCUUGCUCUCUGCGAAAGUGGCGCACGGGUGCGUAACACGUAUGCAACCUACCUUCAAUUGGGGGAUAGCCUUCCGAAAGGGAGAUUAAUACCGCAUAAAACAGCAGAAUGGCAUCAUUUAACUGUUAAAACUCCGGUGAUUGAAGAUGGGCAUGCGUUGCAUUAGCUAGUUGGUAAGGUAACGGCUUACCAAGGCUACGAUGCAUAGGGGAUCUGAGAGGAUGGUCCCCCACACUGGUACUGAGAUACGGACCAGACUCCUACGGGAGGCAGCAGUAAGGAAUAUUGGUCAAUGGACGCAAGUCUGAACCAGCCAUGCCGCGUGCAGGAUGACGGCCCUAUGGGUUGUAAACUGCUUUUGUCAGGGAAUAAAUCAUUUUACGUGUAAGAUGUUGAAGGUACCUGAAGAAUAAGGAUCGGCUAACUCCGUGCCAGCAGCCGCGGUAACAC